AGAGUUUGAUCCUGGCUCAGGACGAACGCUGGCGGCGCGCUUAACACAUGCAAGUCGAGCGAGAACCAGGACUUCGGUCCUGGGGACAGCGGCGAACGGGUGAGUAACACGUGGGUAAUCUGCCCUCGAUUCUGGGAUAGCCCGGGGAAACUCGGAUUAAUACCGGAUAGCCUUCCAGGUUCUCGGACCGGGAAGAAAAGGUAGCUUCGGCCUCCGAUCGAGGAUGAGCCCGCGGUGGAUUAGCUUGUUGGCGGGGUAAUGGCCCACCAAGGCGACGAUCCAUAGCUGGUCUGAGAGGACGAUCAGCCACACUGGGACUGAGACACGGCCCAGACUCCUACGGGAGGCAGCAGUGGGGAAUCUUGCGCAAUGGGCGAAAGCCUGACGCAGCGACGCCGCGUGGGGGAAGAAGGCCUUCGGGUUGUAAACCUCUUUCAGGUGGGACGAAGCCACUCGGGUGAAUAGCCCAGAGGGUGACGGUACCACCAGAAGAAGCCCCGGCUAACUACGUGCCAGCAGCCGCGGUAAUACGUAGGGGGCAAGCGUUGUCCGGAUUUAUUGGGCGUAAAGAGCGUGUAGGCGGCCAGGUAGGUCGGUUGUGAAAACUGGAGGCUCAACCUUCAGACGUCGACCGAAACCAUCUGGCUAGAGUCCGGAAGAGGAGAAUGGAAUUCCUGGUGUAGCGGUGAAAUGCGCAGAUAUCAGGAAGAACACCCGUGGCGAAAGCGGUUCUCUGGGACGGUACUGACGCUGAGACGCGAAAGCGUGGGGAGCGAACAGGAUUAGAUACCCUGGUAGUC
rnacentral:rRNA from 1 species